rnacentral:lncRNA from 1 species
CCCUGAAUUAUUGCCAUAGCUCCUACUUGGUUUUCCAUUUUCCCCCCUCUUUUGGUCAACUCAGCCAAUUUAUUGCUUCCUAUUCAGUGUUACUCUCUUAACACCGUUUACAUCAUUAACUCUUUUUAAUGUUAUUCAAGCCUACCUCCUGCUACACUCUUGCUCAAAAAGCCUCAGUAUUUCCUGAUUUCCCAGUCACUGUGUGUAAACUCCUUACCUUGACCUUCAAAAACCUCUCCAAUGUUGCUUACCCCUCAACCACCUGUGACUUAUGUUUCAGCCAAAUAGGACCCUUGAUGAUUCUGGAACUCUAUCCACAUGUCUACACUUCAAUACCAGUGUCAUAUCCCAAAAUGAAAUAUCCAUACUUUGUGAAGCAGCUGGGUUUUACACCACAUCUAUUUCUAUUCCCUCAACUAGACAUAAGCUCUUCUGGGAUCUGCUAAAGUGCAGUGGCCAAAAGUUUGGAUUCUAAAGACCAACCAUAUGGUUCAAAUUCCAGCUAUACCAUUAGCUGAUUGUGUGACCAUGAACAAGUCACUUUCACUCUACAUCUGUUUCCUGAUCUGAGAAAUGAGAAAUAUUAAUCAGAUAUUAAGUUAGAGGAUGCACAUUUAAUCUGACACAUGGAAUCCUGUAAACAUGCAACAAAUCUGAGUUGUUUUAGCAGAUGCUGUUGUUAGCCCACCCACAUCCCCUUGGUAUUCAACUCUACAGUCUUAAGGCUGUUUAUGGAAAGCAUUUGUGACUGCAAUAGUCAUGCGAGCAUGCUUAGCUCCCAUAUAGGACAGACCAGAAGUGUCUGAGACUUAAUCCCUCAGGAAGCACCCCUCAACCAAUGACAGUUGGAUAGUUAGUGGAUAAAUAUCCUUUGUUUGGAAUAACUCUAAACUGUAUUCUAUAUAUGGACAGUUUCAAAUCUCUGUUGUCUCUCAAGAGUUUCCAAGCAGGCUCUAACACCAGUUGUCCUUAAUGGUAACUGGGUUGAUAUAUUCCUUUCAUCAGCUUACUUCCCUUCCCUGUUUUACUAUCCACUUUUCUACAUGUGUUUCCUGGGAUCACCACCUAAAUAAACUACUUGUACUUGAAUUCUUGUUUCAGGAUUAGUUUCAGGAGCAAUCUAAAACUGUGACAGCUUUUAUCAUUAGAGAUGGCUUCUGAAAUCAUCUAUAUACUUGAUUUGCAUUAGUCCUCUGAUAAUCUGAGUCUGCCCUCAUUAGACUUGAAAUCCAAUAGAAAAACCAAGACUAGGGUAUAAACAACUCUAAAACUUCAUGUGCCCCUCACAUAGAAAUAAUAAUUCUGUAUUUGAAGAACAAAGAAUAAAUGGAGAUCAAAAAGUUACUUGGUGAAUACAAAAGUAGAACAACUACAAUUUAUUGGUCACUAGGAGUAUUUGGGAAACUUUUGUAGUAUGACACGUACUUUCUCAUAAGGAUGGAUCUACCUAAAUACACCUGCAGCCCCUCAAGCUUCCCUCCUCGUGACAUAAGGACGCCCCACCCUCCUUCAGCUACAUCCCAUGAGGCAUUUGACUUUACCUAUUCACAUUUCAUCCUGUCAAUGUAGUUGUGUAAACUUUUAUAUUUUCCAAAUAUGGCAAAUAUUUUACAGGGAUUACAUUUUAGGCAGGCUGCUUCCUGAAGACCUGAAAGUUCUCAUUUAAUCUUAUUAACACAUUCCUCAGAUCUCACUGUGGGGUGGGUGACUUUUAAGAGACUUUUCUGUAGAUGGCUAAUCCAGCCUCUGGGUGUGGUUUGUUGUAAUAGCCAGUCAGGAAAAUCUUCCUCCCCAAACUCCUGUACUGACCCCUUCUUGAACUUUGCCUCUUAGAUCUUGAGGUCUGCCUUACAUGCAAGACAAGUUCUAGAAUCAGUGAACUGUUAACUGCAGCACUAGGAUUAUCAACAGGUAAUGGUGGAUUACCCUUGGGUGGCUGCAUAAAAUCUGUGAUUACAAAUUGAGAUUAACUAUGACCUUUGGUGCUACAGCAGUACCUUUCAAAACUAUCCUUCCAUAAUAGUGUUUCUCAGAGAGUCAUCUGUGGAGUGUCUAUAUUAGAAGGGCUUCUGGCACUGCAUAAAAUGCAGAUUCUUGGUCUGGCUCAGGCACAUCAGUUAGAAUCUCUCACGAAGCUGCUGUAAUUUGCCCUUUUAACAAAAUCCCUGGGUGACCAACUCAUUCCAGAUUUCCCUGGACUGUCCUGAUUUUAGUAUUCAAAGUCUCACAUUCGGGACCUCCUUUGGUCUUAGGACAGCUGGUCACCCUGUGAGCACAUCUUAUAGACUUCAUGGUAUGCCACACUAACACAGGUGUCACCUUUACAUGGUGGAAAUCUAUGAGCCCUUGAGGAGACUUUAAUGCAAUGUGACAUUGGGGCAGGGGAGCUCCCACAGUCAUAGAGCUUGUUGAGAGCCUUCUGUGAGGGCUUAAGUAAGGAAAACCUGGAUUUUUGUAAUCUACUUUACAUUUCCUUUCUUUUGAAACUCAAAUGCAGAGAGUUAAACUUGGUCCUGAGUUUCUGGUCCACCGUUUUCUUCUGUGUCUGCAAGACCCUACUCUGGAUUGGUUUAUAUGGUUAUUUAUUCUCAUUUUUUCCUCCUUUCUCCAUGUCCAGUAGGCAGAUAUCAUGAUGUGAUUAUUAUAUACUCUCUAGUGUGUUUGAGUCCUUAUCAAACAUGUAGCCUUGUUUCAUCUGUAUUUUAAUGUAUACAAAUAGUAUUCUUCUGUUCAUUUCAUUCUAACUCUUAUUUACCCUUUUCUGUUUUUGUAUUUAAUGUUGCAUGAUUUUAGUUUUAUAGUUUUUUUAUUAAAGUAUAGUUGAUUUAUAAUGUUGUAUCAGAUUUCCACUGUACAGCAAAGUGACCCAGUCAUAUAUAUAUGUGACAUAUAUGAAUUAUAUGACAUAUAUAGUAAGAAUAUAUGUAUAUAUAUUUUUCUCAUAUUAUCUUCCAUCAUGUUCUAUCACAAGUGAUUGGAUAUGGUUCCCUCCGCUAUACAUUAGCAUCGCAUUGCUCAUCCAUUCUAAAUGUACUAACCCCAAAUUCCCAGUCCAUCCCACUCCCUCCCCCUACUCCUUGGUCUUGCUUCUUGUGAUAGGCAGCUCCUAAGAUGGCUCCAACCUCUUGGCUUUCAUGGCUCUGUACAAUCACCUCACCUUGAGCAUGCGCUAGAGCCACAACAACCAAUAUUCUUUGCCAGCCAGGAAUUGAGGCCCUCAGUCCAACAGCAUGAGGAACUGAAUCCUGCCAACAGCUUUGUGAGUGAGUUAGGAAGCAAAACUAAUCUUCCCUCAAUCUGUUCAUGCCUUGAGAUGACUGACCACUGACAAUAGCUCUGGAUAACACUUAGUUGCCCCCUGGAAAGAGACCCUGAGCCAAAGGAACCAGAUAGAACAUGCUGGCUCCUGACCCAUAGAGACUGCGAGAUAAUAGAUAUGUGUUGUUUAAGAUGCUAAAUUUGGAGUCAUUUGUUACAUAGCACUAGAUAACUCAUCAACCUCUAACAAUUGCAUGGCAUCCAUGGCAUGCUUCUAUCACAUAGGCUUGCUUGUUCUCUGCAGAUGGACACCUGACUGAAUCUAACCCCACUGUGGCAAACACCACUACAGUGAAUACCUUGAGCAGAACCCCCCUCUGAAUGUGUGUGAACUUUUCCCUGGGGUGGAUGUGCACAAUGGGUCUGCUGGGGAAGACCCAGAGACUAGAGAGGCACUUGUAACAACACUUUCAGCUUCUUCAAUUCUUACAUUUAAAGAAUUUUUACCCCUAAAUAUUUAGUUUUAAAAGUGGAUAGCCCUUGGGGAAAAUAAAGAGACCCUCUGAUUAGGUAUUUUAGAUGUGAAAUGGGGGGGCAAGGAAUAGUCAGGAGUGGUCUCUGGAACAAUAUGGAGGGUUGGUGUCUUGUCUUGAAAAGAGGCUACAGUAUGUUGCUUUUUUUGUGACCCAGGCUGACUGAUUCAUGCUGGGCUUCAGACAUGAGGGGCCAGGACUAAGAAGAGGGAGGACUUGUUCAAAGCUGAGUGGACACAUCUAUAAUCAUUAAAAUAAUGUUUCUCUGUUUGGAUUUAGUAAAUGGCCUUAAGUUCCUGGAAAUGUGUGCAGAGACCCCAUGGCCAUGAGAAGAUCUAUCAUUUAAUUCUUUACAGUAGGCUGAAAUAUAUUUGGAAGUCAUUGGACUGUGGCUGUCCUACAUCAAAAGGCAUUUCAUAACAAAACACCAUCAUGCCCCAUUUAUAGAAAUAGCAUGCUGUGCUUUGGCUGCUGUGGGCAAAUAAAAUAUGUUCUUGUAACAUAAACAGCCUUACCUUCCUUCUAAAACUAAAGGGCUAUAAAAGAUUUAUUUAAAUAGGUUUUUGAAAUAUAGAGACACAUAUAAAAACAUGUUAAAUAUACACAUAUAUACAUACAUAUACGUAUAGAUAGAUGAUAACGCAUGAGAGAUAUUCUCAUAAAUGGACUUUAAAAUCUGAUAGAUAAUAUAAAAGGAAAAGAUAUCAGAGCCCAAAGAGAGAGUAAAAUCUUCUAAUCCAUGCACUUCAUUUCACAAAGGAAACUGAGGCCCAGAAGAAUUGACAUGUCUAAGGAUUAUGGCAUCCCAGGGUCAGUGUGUAAAAUGGAACCUGAGCCUCCAACCCCCUGGGUGGUGCCAUCCCAGAUGCUCACAAUUGACACAGAUUUAAAUGAAAUGAGUUAUGUUCUUAUCUUUCUUGGAUUUACUAAUGGUGGAAUUUGAAACAAAUGAAUAGCAGGCUUGGCACCAGAUGAACUUUUUAAGAAAAUAUAGCAGUUGUUUGCCAUUCCUUGCACUCAGACCUCUGGAACACAUGCUCUUGAAAACCCCCAACUGCCACCCCCCAAAAAACAAUAAGAAACAACAACAAUCACAAAGAUCGUUGUUCCUGUGAUGUUGCAGUGGAUGAAAAUUCUGACUGGGGUGGCUCAGG